AAGAGUCGUGGUGAGAAUGAUGACUAUUAUUCUGAUCCUGAAAUCCAACCCAACACCAACCUUUCGUCCCAGCAGCUUUUACGGUUUGGUUGGAAUAUUGCUGAUGGAAUGGCGUAUCUUGCUUCUCAGAAGAUAAUUCACCGCGAUUUGGCUGCUCGUAACGUUUUGGUUGGAGAAGGUCUUGCUUG